rnacentral:rRNA from 1 species
UAGCCUUGACAUUGAUUGAACACACUAGAGAUAGAGUGGUGCCCUUCGGGGAACAUGAAAACAGGUGCUGCACGGCUGUCGUCAGCUCGUGUCGUGAGAUGUUGGGUUAAGUCCCGCAACGAGCGCAACCCUCGUCCUUAGUUGCUAGCAGUUCGGCUGAGCACUCUAAGGAGACUGCCUUCGUAAGGAGGAGGAAGGUGAGGACGACGUCAAGUCAUCAUGGCCCUUAUGGCUAGGGCUACACACGUGCUACAAUGGGGCGUACAGAGUGUUGCGAUACCGCGAGGUGGAGCUAAUCACUUAAAGCGUCUCUCAGUUCGGAUUGGAGUCUG